CUACAGAUGACAUCACUUCCUCUGUGCCUGUACUUCAUCAUAGCAGAAGCACUCACUUUAUUACAAAGAGCUGACACGAUGAACACUUUCCUUAUCAGAUCUGCAUGUCUGUUGUGGCUAACAGUGGCAAACCAUGCAAAAACUGUUCUCCAGAGACCUGACAACCUCAUAAAGAACCAAAAUGAAUCGGCUGUUAUCGGCUGUUCUCACAGUAUACAGAGCUACAACCGAAUGCUGUGGUACAAACAGAGUCAGGACAUGCCUGGAUUCAAGUUUUUGGGAUACCUUUUUAGUGGUGAAAAUAUAGAGCCUGAAUUUACAGACAAGAUCAAAUUGAAGGGAGAUGCAUCAAAAAAUGGCAGUCUGACUAUCAACAACCUCACACCACAAGACAGCGCAGUGUAUUUCUGUGCAGCAUAUUACACAGUGAUAUAGAUAAUGAAACCUUAAUACAAAAAGCUCUCUAGUCUGUGCCUCUGCAUCAGCUCUGCCUCACCUGCGAAGGGCUCAGGGUUUGAUUUGCGGCCAACAUUGAGGUGAAUUAUCUCGUUAAAUAACAUGUACACAAAUGUCUAACAGUGUUUGAGGAAUCCCAUAUGAGAACAGAACAAUCCCACCACAUUUUGACCUCAUAGUCAGCUAAAUUGAUACACAAGUUAUAUACUUAGCAUCCUAGAACAGCAGAGGGAAUUCUUUGGUAAUGCUAAAUCUGGACAGCACUGAAAAAUAUACAUAAUUUAGCGAUUUUAAAAUGCACUUUUAAAGAAUUAUUAACAUACAUACAUACAUAUAUAUAAAGAGAAAACCAUUACUGUUUAUUAUGAUUUUCUCUUUUAACCUUUUUUUGUGUAACUCACUAAUUUGUUGUCAGUGCCCCCAGAGAUGACAUCAUUUCCUACUAGAACUGCCUUCUUGCAUUUAUUUCACAGCACUGUCACCAAAAGUAAAGAUGACUAGCAUUAUUACAAGUGUUUGUGUUUCUCUAGUAUGUCUCACAGGUAACCAUAUGUCAUAGACUUUUGUUUAUGUUUAUGAAUGUUUAUUAUAUGUAUUUGUUUUACACUGAUUGCCAUUGUAUAUGUGUAUUUUCUCUCAUUACAGUUGUAUUUGGUAAAACUGCUUUCCAGUCACCUGGUGACCUCAUUAAGAACCAGGAUGAAUCUGCUGUAAUCAUAUGUACACACAAUAUAGCAAACUAUGACCGUAUUCUUUGGUACAAAAAAGACAUCAUGGGCUUCAAGUUCAUGGGAUUCCUUAAUCUUGACUUUAAAUACCCAGAGCCUGAAUUUGAAAACAAGAUCAAACUGGAUGGAGAUGGAAGAAAUAAUGGCACUCUGACUAUCAACACCCUCACGCUGACUGACAGUGCAGUGUAUUUCUGUGCAGCAUAUUACACAGUGCUCAGAAUCACCCCUAUCUGAUACAAAAACCCUUCUCAGUUCAAACUUUAAAUUCAGUGCUUAUCAGCAAAUUCACUCCCACUCUGCACCUGGACUUGUGGAGUUUGAAUAACUACCAGUAAUGAGAAAAACAAAGUCUUAGCAUUGCACAAAUACAUUGUUCCUUCCUUCAUAUAAAACUGAUUAGUUUAAAAUAGACUUCUAAUAGACUGAAUUUAUCGAUUCAUUCCUGUUAUGCAGUACCCUCUGAAUUGAAUUUCAAAAUGUGACAACAGAAACAAAAAAUUUACUUUCUUUAGGAUGGUGCCAUAAAAUAAAUAAAUAAAUAAUAAUAAUAAUAAUAAUAAAAACCUUUUGUUAUGUGAAAGGACAUAGGACAAAAUAAAUGAAGGAUCUGGAACCUGUAUAUGUGCUGUAUAUAAGUGCUUACAUACAGUAAGUGCAUACAAAUCGCUGCAGUUACCAGUUGAAAUAAACACUAGAGGCAGUAAAACUCCUUCUUUUUCACAUGUAUGAUUUGCAGGUCCACAGUUUAGAAUAAUAAAGCCUAAUUUUCGCAUAAUUACAUUAUGUUAAGGAAUAUUAUGUUAUGAAUGCAAAACAAUUUUAACAUGCUGCGAGAUUUGAAAACUGGUGCAUUUGUAGGUAAGUGUCACAUAUCAAGCUUUAUAUGCAUGAGUUUUUUUCUAUUUCAGUAGGUUUGCUCGGUAGCUCACGGGAUUGUUAACAGUAUCAGGUAGGUUUAGGUUGGGUUUGGUGUAGGGGAUAUUUCCAACAAGAUACAGCAUUAAUUUUCAGCAACACUCCUCGAAUAUUUGAAUUAUGAACCACCGCAAUACGUACCUGAAGCAAUGUAAUACAAAUACAGCAAUAUGUGCCUAUAUCAAAGUAACAAAUACGUGCCAGGGUCACAUAUUGAAUCUGCGUUUCACUUUGAAACUGCAGUGAAAUGUGCAGUAAGGUACGUAAAAACAAAAGUUAAAUAAAUAAAUCAAUAAAAUCCUGCACAUACAGUAUUUAAAAUAAAAAUAAAAGUAGUGCUCCUUGUUUUGUGGAAUUAAACUCAAUUCAUUGCUAGCACUAACCAGAGAGAUACA
ensembl:lncRNA